AUUGAACGCUGGCGGCAGGCCUAACACAUGCAAGUCGAACGAGUGGCGGACGGGUGAGUAAUGUCUGGGAAACUGCCUGAUGGAGGGGGAUAACUACUGGAAACGGUAGCUAAUACCGCAUACCAUCGGAUGUGCCCAGAUGGGAUUAGCUAGUAGGUGGGGUAACGGCUCACCUAGGCGGCGAUCCCUAGCUGGUCUGAGAGGAUGACCAGCCACACUGAAACGGAGACACGGUCCAGACUCCUACGGGAGGCAACAGUGGGGAAUAUUGCACAAUGGGCGCAAGCCAGAUGGAGAAAUGCCGCGUGUAUGAAGAAGGCAUUAGGGGUGUAAAGUACUGUCAGCGGGGAGGCGUUACCCGCAGAAGAAGCGCCGGCUAACUCCGUGCCAGCAGCCGCGGUAAUUC
rnacentral:rRNA from 1 species